UACUUGCCGAGUAACUGUCCAACU
rnacentral:piRNA from 1 species